GAGGAAGGCGACGAGAAGCUCGGCGGCCAUCGCCGCCAUUUUGGGCUGGGAGGAGGCAGCGGAGGGACUCGCUGCGCAAUGUUUUACAACUGGAUUACAAAAUAGGAUCAUCAUUGACUAGGGUCCUCAAUCCAAAACUGGAACCACUUACUCCUAACUGAAGCUUCAGUACACUUGAUGCCUACUGUGGUUUGAUUUUUUACCUACAUAUGACAUGUUCGCUCUACACUGAUCAAGAGAUCAUCAAGAAAGAAAACCAAGGCACUAGAAAGCAAGCACACUUAAGUAUUGAAGAUAAUUACAUCUUAAAUUUUGCCUGAACUGUAUAUUGUAGCAUACUUAAACCCAUUCAAGGAAAAAAUUGGCAAAUUGAAAAUUCUCCCAUUAAAGAUUGAUAUUUUUGCAAACUGACAAAUUUAACGAUUUCGGUACCCCUCCCCAAAAAUGCAGUCACAUAAAAUAUAUCAAUACUAUUUUGAAUUAGCUCUAGAAAUCACACUGAAACUAUGUUACAUUUACAAAUAUUAAAUUUAUUAUAACUAA
rnacentral:lncRNA from 1 species